rnacentral:rRNA from 1 species
AAAAAAGGUAAGCUACUAAGAGCGAAUGGUGGAUGCCUUGACUGGUAAAGGCGAUGAAGGACGUACUAGACUGCGAUAAGCUACGGGGAGCUGUCAAGAAGCUUUGAUCCGUAGAUUUCCGAAUGGGGCAACCCAAUGUAUAGAGAUAUACAUUACCUAUAUAGGAGCGAACGAGGGGAAUUGAAACAUCUUAGUACCCUCAGGAAAAGAAAUCAAUAGAGAUUGCGUCAGUAGCGGCGAGCGAAAGCGCAAGAGGGCAAACCCAGUGCUUGCACUGGGGGUUGUAGGACUGCAAUGUGCAAGAGGUGAGUUUAGCAGAACAUUCUGGAAAGUAUAGCCAUAGAGGGUGAUAGUCCCGUAUGCGAAAAACAAACCUUAGCUAGCAGUAUCCUGAGUAGGGCGGGACACGAGGAAUCCUGUCUGAAUCCGGGUCGACCACGAUCCAACCCUAAAUACUAAUACCAGAUCGAUAGUGCACAAGUACCGUGAGGGAAAGGUGAAAAGAACUGAGGUGAUCAGAGUGAAAUAGAACCUGAAACCAUUUGCUUACAAUCAUUCAGAGCCCUAUGUAGCAAUACAGGGUGAUGGACUGCCUUUUGCAUAAUGAGCCUGCGAGUUGUGGUGUCUGGCAAGGUUAAGCAAACGUGAAGCCGUAGCGAAAGCGAGUCUGAAUAGGGCGCUUAGUCAGAUGCUGCAGACCCGAAACGAAGUGAUCUAUCCAUGAGCAAGUUGAAGCUAGUGUAAGAACUAGUGGAGGACUGAACCCAUAGGCGUUGAAAAGCCCCGGGAUGACUUGUGGAUAGGGGUGAAAGGCCAAUCAAACUUCGUGAUAGCUGGUUCUCUCCGAAAUAUAUUUAGGUAUAGCGUUGUGUCGUAAUAUAAGGGGGUAGAGCACUGAAUGGGCUAGGGCAUACACCAAUGUACCAAACCCUAUCAAACUCCGAAUACCUUAUAUGUAAUCACAGCAGUCAGGCGGCGAGUGAUAAAAUCCGUCGUCAAGAGGGAAACAACCCAGACUACCAGCUAAGGUCCCUAAAUCUUACUUAAGUGGAAAACGAUGUGAAGUUACUUAAACAACCAGGAGGUUGGCUUAGAAGCAGCCAUCCUUUAAAGAAAGCGUAAUAGCUCACUGGUCUAGUGAUUUUGCGCGGAAAAUAUAACGGGGCUAAAGUAAGUACCGAAGCUGUAGACUUGAUUUUAUCAAGUGGUAGGAGAGCGUUCUAUUUGCGUCGAAGGUAUACCGGUAAGGAGUGCUGGAGCGAAUAGAAGUGAGCAUGCAGGCAUGAGUAGCGAUAAUUAAUGUGAGAAUCAUUAACGCCGUAAACCCAAGGUUUCCUACGCGAUGCUCGUCAUCGUAGGGUUAGUCGGGUCCUAAGUCGAGUCCGAAAGGGGUAGACGAUGGCAAAUUGGUUAAUAUUCCAAUACCAACAUUAGUGUGCGAUGGAAGGACGCUUAGGGCUAAGGGGGCUAGCGGAUGGAAGUGCUAGUCUAAGGUCGUAGGAGGUUAUACAGGCAAAUCCGUAUAACAAUACUCCGAGAACUGAAAGGCUUUUUGAAGUCUUCGGAUGGAUAGAAGAACCCCUGAUGCCGUCGAGCCAAGAAAAGUUUCUAAGUUUAGCUAAUGUUGCCCGUACCGUAAACCGACACAGGUGGGUGGGAUGAGUAUUCUAAGGCGCGUGGAAGAACUCUCUUUAAGGAACUCUGCAAAAUAGCACCGUAUCUUCGGUAUAAGGUGUGGUUCGCUUCGUAUUAGGAUUUACUCCGAAAGCGAAGAAACUUACAACAAAGAGUCCCUCCCGACUGUUUACCAAAAACACAGCACUCUGCUAACUCGUAAGAGGAUGUAUAGGGUGUGACGCCUGCCCGGUGCUCGAAGGUUAAUUGAUGGGGUUAGCAUUAGCGAAGCUCUUGAUCGAAGCCCGAGUAAACGGCGGCCGUAACUAUAACGGUCCUAAGGUAGCGAAAUUCCUUGUCGGUUAAAUACCGACCUGCAUGAAUGGCGUAACGAGAUGGGAGCUGUCUCAAAGAGGGAUCCAGUGAAAUUGUAGUGGAGGUGAAAAUUCCUCCUACCCGCGGCAAGACGGAGAGACCCCGUGGACCUUUACUACAGCUUGACACUGCUAUUUGGAUAAGAAUGUGCAGGAUAGGUGGGAGGCUUUGAGUAUAUGACGCCAGUUGUAUAUGAGCCAUUGUUGAGAUACCACUCUUUCUUAUUUGGGUAGCUAACCAGCUUGAGUUAUCCUCAAGUGGGACAAUGUCUGGUGGGUAGUUUGACUGGGGCGGUCGCCUCCCAAAUAAUAACGGAGGCUUACAAAGGUUGGCUCAGAACGGUUGGAAAUCGUUCGUAGAGUAUAAAGGUAUAAGCCAGCUUAACUGCAAGACAUACAAGUCAAGCAGAGACGAAAGUCGGUCUUAGUGAUCCGGUGGUUCUGUGUGGAAGGGCCAUCGCUCAAAGGAUAAAAGGUACCCCGGGGAUAACAGGCUGAUCUCCCCCAAGAGCUCACAUCGACGGGGAGGUUUGGCACCUCGAUGUCGGCUCAUCGCAUCCUGGGGCUGGAGCAGGUCCCAAGGGUAUGGCUGUUCGCCAUUUAAAGCGGUACGCGAGCUGGGUUCAGAACGUCGUGAGACAGUUCGGUCCCUAUCUGCCGUGGGCGUAAGAAGAUUGAAGAGAUUUGACCCUAGUACGAGAGGACCGGGUUGAACAAACCACUGGUGUAGCUGUUGUUCUGCCAAGAGCAUCGCAGCGUAGCUAAGUUUGGAAAGGAUAAACGCUGAAAGCAUCUAAGCGUGAAGCCAACUCUAAGAUGAAUCUUCUCUAAGCUCUCUAGAAGACUACUAGUUUGAUAGGCUGGGUGUGUAAUGGAUGAAAGUCCUUUAGCUGACCAGUACUAAUAGAGCGUUUGGCUUAUCUUUAAUAAAGCAU